GACCCCGGAGGGUCCGAACUGUCUCAGCGGAGAAAGGGGACAUAGUGUGCUGGCGAGCGCUGGCUGUUGGCGUUAGAGCUCCGGCUGUGGCUCAGUCUGGGGCGCGGUUCUUGCCAACACACCAUGUCCAGAGACAGGUGACCAAAAAUUCAAAUUUCAAACCAGCUCUGGAUGGAAAUGAAAAACACAGGGUCCCACUUAUGUUAAGGCAGGCAUGUCUUUCGCCUUCUUACUCGCACCUUCCGCUAUGGAUUCGCUCUUCAGGGGGCACUGAGACAUCCUACAGUGCCCUGGACGGCCCACCCCAACCAUGGUAUCCGUUGUCCAACAGUUUUGGAUACCCCAGAAUCGGUCUCCCUUAUCCCCCCUUACAGCUUGGUGCACUACCCCCUUCUUACCUUAAAUAACUACUCCUCCAUUGUGAAAUGAAAACUAGGCAAAGGCGAAUUUCAUUUCAAACGUUAUAAACGGUAUGUAUUUAUUAAGCCAAAUCAAAAAUUCAUUGCCAGACAAAGUUCAAUCAAACGAAAAAGCAAAGAAAACAAAACAAGGAAUUGCAUAGUGGCAAUUAAAAAAACUUCAAUUAUAUAGACUCCUCUCCUUCAAAGAGAAAAAUAGUAAUAAAAUUCUCCUUCCUCCACAGGUGUAUUGGGUCUUCUCUUGGUGUCUGGCCUUCCUUCAGGGUCGUCUCUCCUAACUGGAGUCAGUGCUGGGGCGGCUGAGCAGUGCCCACGCUUUCCUCUUGUCUGUCCGUCCGUCUGGUUGUGGCCUAAGUUCGCAAAGCGAACACCAACAGCAGUAAGGGCUCCUUUCCGCCCCAAAGGUCUAGAAUCUUUACCCCCUGGCCCUAGGUUGAGCUCGACCUAACAGCUGAGGACAGCGCCUAUUUAUUCUAGCGCUGUGUUACUUAUAGAAAGGAAAUAUGUGUGUCAAGGUCCUGUCCGUCCGUCUAAGUUCACGUAUACGUCCCGCAAUAGUGUUUGUGAGGAAAAGGGUACCUGCAGCACUGUCGGCUGACCAGUGCUUUUGAUAUAGAGCUUCCCACGAUGGACAGAGGAGGUGGAGGUGUAGCUUUAUGUUUUCGCGUUUGGCUUUUUGUUAUUUUGUGAUCAACUUUAGUGGUGUCUAUUGUCUUUGAUUUUCAAGUUUAGGAUUUUUAACUAUUGACUUUGAUUUGGUUUUUAGUUUUUUUUUCUUUUCAGGUC